GAGCGCAAAGAUCGUCUAUGUUAGAGAAGAGUUAUUUCCUGUUUGCUAAGUACACGAAAGGGAUCCCAUCGGUGGUGUCAAGUGGGAGCUCCUAACCUAAAGCGUCCAUUUGGAGGCUGAUAAUGGAGGAUAGACAGAAAGAGUCAAAUACAGAACUCACCAGGAGGCAAAGUGAAUAAACGCAGGUAAAGACACAGCAAGUUUGUGUUCUUAAAUGUCUGUCCGAAGCAAUUAGGUAGCGUGACAGCGUUAGCGUUUUUUUCUAAAGGGAGCUGUCGGUAGGCUAAUUGCUGGCUGUGCUAGCUAGCUGGUGUUGCUAUAAGCCAAUUAAGUGCUGUGGUGUAACAAGAUAAUGGGUCGUCAUUUAAAAUGUUUUUUUUUUUUUUAAAUACUAGACUGCAUAAAUGCCUACUUGUUUUGUAAGUAGAAAGUGUUUUAAUCGCAAAGUUGGUGUUUACAUAUCAACAGAUAUUUGCUCGUAUCGCACGAUACUUUCCUGGAUAAAGAGGAUAGAAAAUAGAAGGGUAUUAAAAUGGAAGAUUUAUUUAUUCUUUUGUAUUUCCAGGGAGCCAAAGUUAUCCCAGACGCUGAUCUUGACUCUCUCUUGUCCUCACAGGGCAACACCAGCACCAUAAUUGUGUGGUUGUGGCUGAAUAAGCUGGUCCUCCUGCAGGACAGGACAGCAGGCACAUGAGGCUUUGGGGGCCUGCGUCAACAAUAUAUGGAGCCAGCAGACAUCAGUCCGUUGAGGUGUCCCUCUCCAGCGCCACUGGAUGGUGUCGGUCAUCCUGAGGUGGAAUCCAAGGAGGAGGAGCUGAGGGGUUUUGUGCAGCUCUCAGUCGGGGUGUCUUGCAGGCCCCCGGGCUCGGCUGACUCCCCCGAAUCAACAACUUGCCUCAGACAACCUCUCCCCAUAAAGCCAGCCACUCAUCAAUCUGGCUGUGGCCUUAAUCUCCCAGUGAAGAAAUCCCAACCCACAUUCUCCAUGAACUUGGCUUCAGGAUGGAAUGAGACGGACAUGGAGCAUCGGGCUCUUAAAGCUGAAUCGGCUGUGCGCCUCAUAGAUGACUACCGCAGUGCUGAUACCUGCGUAGCCUCUGCAGCUAACGCGCGUCUUCAGAGGGAAGAGAUGGGCUUUGCUGACUUCACUGUGUUUACAGAGCAGACGGUGCAUCACUGGUGCUGUGGUUUCACACCUUCAGGGAAUCCAGAGACGUCUAACAGCAGACUUGGGCAGAGGAACCCUUCAAACAGCCCAUUAGAACGCCCCCGUAGUCCCGGGCAGGUGGCUUUAGGGGACUCUGACCCUCAUUGUUCAUCUAAAGCAAAAGAUUGCACCAUGAUCGGACACUGGCAGGAAGGAGACGCUGCAGUUGCGCAACCCCACCAGGACCAGCAACAGCCUCAGGAAACUGCAGCAACUUUGGUUUUUCCUCCUGCGAAGGUUUACGCCGAGAAAGGAGCGUCGGAGGAGAGCGAUCCGACCCCAGAGGUUCGAGAAGAGGGAGGCGAGGAGAGCGACGAACAAGACGAGCCAGGACGCCGCCGCUCCGGCAACAUCGGCGCGGCGACGUGGCCGCAGGCGAAGGCCGAGGAGGAUCCUCGCCGCUCCGACUCAUCCGCAACUCAGGAAAACUCUGCUACCUCCGGUCCGCUGCGGUCAGGAGCGCGCCACGAUAUCUCGGACCCGGUGCACGCCCAACGAGCCGACGCUGCCGUGCUGAUUCUGGGAACGCUCCCACCGAGCGACAGCUUCGCCGACUUCUGCGCAGCGCCCGCGCAGGACGACGGAGAGGAUUUAUGGGCGGAGUUCACGGACAGGAAGGAAGAGGAAGGCGAGCCGGCUUGGACCAGAGAGCGAGCCGGCUCCGUCCCCACUGAAGACGAGGACGAGGCUCCCGGCUGUAAGGCGUCACUUUCCGGCCGUGUGCACCAGCUUUUCCUGGCUAAUUUCCUGGAGGCAGGGGGCCCGUGUGCUGCCCCAGAGCUGGAGGUGCUCAGCCUCGCCGCUCUGCUUGAUGUCCAACAGCCCCCUCAGCGUGAGGACGGCGAGGAGCAACAGGGCCAGGGGAUCCAGAAGGGGCUGCGGUGGCUGCGCGCGGACCUUCACAGUGCAGUCGGCCUCCGGUUCCAGUGGAGAGGCUCCCACUCCAGCAGGACUCUGCUCAGGUGCCUCGGCGUGGACGCAGAGAACGUCCGUUCGCUAGAGACCACCAAAGACUCCGAGUCAGCCGCCCGUUCUCCGAGACACACGGCGGCACCGGCACCUCCGACCCCCCAGGACGCACCAGCACCUUCCACCGCUCCAGUACAGGGUACGAUUCCCUCCAGCCAGACGGACUGGAACAACCGCGGCCUUAGAAGCUCUCAGGACGGCACCUGCCUUCGCAGAGCCCCUCACUUCUGGGGUCGUAAAUAG
ensembl:lncRNA